rnacentral:rRNA from 1 species
GAUGAACGCUAGCGGCAGGCCUAAUACAUGCAAGCCGAACGGCAAGUUUGAUAGCAAUAUUGGACCUAGAGUGGCGCAAGGGUGCGUAACACGUAUGCAACCUGCCCGCGACAGGAGGAUAGCUCCCCGAAAGGGGAAUUAACCCUCCAUAACACCAUGAGAAGGCAUCUGAUUAUGGUUAAACCGCAAGGGGUCGCGGAUGGGCAUGCGGUUGAUUAGCUAGUUGGCGGGGUAAUGGCUCACCAAGGCGGUGACGGGUAGGCGGCCGGAGAGGGUGAACGGACACAGUGGGACUGGGAUACGGCACAGACUCCGACGGGAGGCAGCAGUGGGGAAUAUUGCACCAUGGGCGGAAGCCUGAUGCAGCAACGCCGCGUGCGGGAGGACGGCCUUCGGGUGGUAAACCGCUUGCGCCUGGGACGAAGCGGGAGUGACGGUAAUGGGUAAAGAAGCACCGGCUAACUACGGG